AGAGUUUGAUCAUGGCUCAGAUUGAACGCUGGCGGCAUGCUUUACACAUGCAAGUCGAACGGUAACAGGCCGCAAGGUGCUGACGAGUGGCGAACGGGUGAGUAAUGUAUCGGAACGUGCCCAGUCGUGGGGGAUAACGCAGCGAAAGCUGCGCUAAUACCGCAUACGAUCUAUGGAUGAAAGCGGGGGACCGUAAGGCCUCGCGCGAUUGGAGCGGCCGAUAUCAGAUUAGGUAGUUGGUGGGGUAAAGGCUCACCAAGCCAACGAUCUGUAGCUGGUCUGAGAGGACGACCAGCCACACUGGGACUGAGACACGGCCCAGACUCCUACGGGAGGCAGCAGUGGGGAAUUUUGGACAAUGGGCGCAAGCCUGAUCCAGCAAUGCCGCGUGCAGGAAGAAGGCCUUCGGGUUGUAAACUGCUUUUGUACGGAACGAAACGGUCCUGGUUAAUACCUGGGGCUAAUGACGGUACCGUAAGAAUAAGCACCGGCUAACUACGUGCCAGCAGCCGCGGUAAUACGUAGGGUGCAAGCGUUAAUCGGAAUUACUGGGCGUAAAGCGUGCGCAGGCGGUUUUGUAAGACAGGCGUGAAAUCCCCGGGCUUAACCUGGGAAUGGCGCUUGUGACUGCAAAGCUGGAGUGCGGCAGAGGGGGAUGGAAUUCCGCGUGUAGCAGUGAAAUGCGUAGAUAUGCGGAGGA
rnacentral:rRNA from 1 species